rnacentral:rRNA from 1 species
AGAACGAACGCUGGCGGCACGCCUAAUACAUGCAAGUCGAACGAAGGCUUCGGCCUUAGUGGCGCACGGGUGCGUAACGCGUGGGAAUCUGCCCCCUUGGUUCGGAAUAACAGUUGGAAACGACUGCUAAUACCGGAUGAUGACGAAAGUCCAAAGAUUUAUCGCCAAGGGAUGAGCCCGCGUAGGAUUAGCUAGUUGGUGAGGUAAAGGCUCACCGAAGGCGACGAUCCGUUAGCUGGUCUGAGAGGAUGAUCAGCCAACACGUGGGACUGAGACCGACGGCCCAGACCUCCGUACGGGAGCAGCAAGGUAGGGAAUAGUAGA